CAGCUUGGUGUGUGUGAUACU
rnacentral:miRNA from 17 species